rnacentral:rRNA from 1 species
UACGAAGGGUGCAAGCGUUACUCGGAAUUACUGGGCGUAAAGCGUGCGUAGGUGGUUCGUUAAGUCUGAUGUGAAAGCCCUGGGCUCAACCUGGGAAUGGCAUUGGAAACUGGCGACCUAGAGUGCGGUAGAGGGUAGUGGAAUUCCCGGUGUAGCAGUGAAAUGCGUAGAGAUCGGGAGGAACACCAGAGGCGAAGGCGCCUAGCUGGACAGAUACUGACACUCAACUACGAAAGCGUGGGGAGCAAACAGG